UCCUGGUCCUCCUCCGAGGGAGGAAGCGCAGAAAGGUUGAUAACCUGUGCUCUGAAUGGAGUCAAGAGCACCUUAGGCAUAGUUUAUUUU